CUCUGCCUCAGAGGUCUUCUCAAGCCACUACUGUUCCCAAGGAUGCCUAAUUGCAAUGCCAGCUUCUGGGGUGAACAUGGACCCACUGUCAUCGGGCAAGGUCUAGGAUGGACAUGGAUACCCACCAUCUGGGAGAUUCCAGAGUGGACGUGAACCCACCAUCAUCAGGCAGCUUCAUGGAGUAUUCAGAAGCUGGCGGGUGUCAUCUGGAGGAUGUGACUGGGUACCAGUGCCAGAGCACGUGCCCACUGAGCAGUCUUCUUCACUUUCCUCGAUCCUCAUGAAACAUUCUGGGAUCUUUACCUCAAAGGACUCCAGAGGCUACAUCAUUGUCUUGGAACUGGUCAGUGGCUGGAGCUCUCUCCAGGACAAGUGCUUGGAGGAAGAACCUGGACAAGCUUCCCUCCCCAUACUGUUGACUGGAUCUUGUAUCUACCGUUAGCCACCAUCAUCGCCAUUGUGUGCCUCUUAGGAGCAUUUCCAGGAGGUGAUGCCAGCUGGGGAAAGAGCCUCUGUCCCACAGGACAGCUUCAGGUGGUGAUUCCAGCUCCAGGGUUGCUGCGGUCAACACUGGGUACUUGAGGAGAGGUU
ensembl:lincRNA Mirg miRNA containing gene